rnacentral:rRNA from 1 species
GGGGGGGGGGGGGGGGGGGGGGGGGGGGGGGGGGGCGGGCGGGCCCUGCGGGGGUAGCGGCGGACGGGUGAGUAACGCGUGGGAGUAUGCCCUUCUCGCCGGAAUGGUCCUGGGAACCGGGGGGGACGACCGUCUACGCCCGCUGGGGGGAAGAUGUAUCGGGGCCGGAUUAGCCCGCGUUGGAUUAGGUAGUUGGUGGGGUAAUGGCCUACCAAGCCGACGAUCCAUAGCUGGUUUGAGAGGAUGAUCAGCCACACUGGGACUGAGACACGGCCCAGACUCCUACGGGAGGCAGCAGUGGGGAAUCUUAGACAAUGGGGGCAACCCUGAUCUAGCCAUGCCGCGUGAGUGAUGAAGGCCUUAGGGUUGUAAAGCUCUUUCAGCUGGGAAGAUAAUGACGGUACCAGCAGAAGAAGCCACGGCUAACUCCGUG